UUGUGUCGAAAAUACAAUUUAAUGAUGAGUUUUAUUGUGAAUUUAGUAAAUUGUCACAGGACAAAAUCAUAGGCACACAAAAUGAUUGUUGUACUAUUUAUGAUAUAGCCAAGGGUCAACUGAUAUCAACAUUUACACCUACAUUGGGUAAUCAAUAUAGU